rnacentral:tRNA from 1 species
GGAUGUAGCCAAGUGGAUUAAGGCGGUGGAUUGUGAAUCCAUUGUGCGGGUUCAAUUCCCAUUGUAUCUU